UACGUAGGGUGCGAGCGUUGUCCGGAAUUAUUGGGCGUAAAGAGCUCGUAGGCGGCUUGUCGCGUCGGAUGUGAAAGCCCCGGCUCAACUGGGGAGGGUCAUUCGAUACUGUUCGACUCGAAGGCAGGAGAGGGAAGUGGAAUUCCCGGUGUAGUGGUGAAAUGCGUAGAUAUCGGGAGGAACACCAGUGGCGAAGGCGGACUUCCUGGCCUGUUCUUGACGCUGAGGCGCGAAAGCUAGGGGAGCAACGGG
rnacentral:rRNA from 1 species